CAGCAGUAGCAAUACUGUGGGUGGCGAGUGGCGGACGGGUGAGUAAUGCAUCGGGAUCUACCCAAACGUGGGGGAUAACGUAGGGAAACUUACGCUAAUACCGCAUACGUCCUAUGGGAGAAAGCGGGGGAUCGAAAAACCUCGCGCGGUUGGACGAACCGAUGUGCGAUUAGCUAGUUGGUAGGGUAAUGGCCUACCAAGGCGACGAUCGCUAGCUGGUCUGAGAGGAUGAUCAGCCACACUGGAACUGAGACACGGUCCAGACUCCUACGGGAGGCAGCAGUGGGGAAUAUUGGACAAUGGGCGCAAGCCUGAUCCAGCAAUGCCGCGUGUGUGAAGAAGGCCUUCGGGUUGUAAAGCACUUUUAUCAGGAGCGAAAUACUACCGGCUAAUAUCCGGUGGGGCUGACGGUACCUGAGGAAUAAGCACCGGCUAACUUCGUGCCAGCAGCCGCGGUAAUACGAAGGGUGCAAGCGUUAAUCGGAAUUACUGGGCGUAA
rnacentral:rRNA from 1 species